rnacentral:rRNA from 1 species
GAUGAACGCUAGCGGCAGGCUUAAUACAAGCAAGUCGUGGGGCAGCAUGAAUGUAGCAAUACAUUUGAUGGCGACCGGCAAACGGGUGCGGAACACGUACACAACCUUCCUAUAAGUGGGGAAUAGCCCAGAGAAAUUUGGAUUAAUACCCCGUAACAUAAUGAUGUGGCAUCACAUUAUUAUUAUAGCUACGGCGCUUAUUGAUGGGUGUGCGGCUGAUUAGAUAGUUGGCGGGGUAACGGCCCACCAAGUCUACGAUCAGUAGCUGAUGUGAGAGCAUGAUCAGCCACACGGGCACUGAGACACGGGCCCGACUCCUACGGGAGGCAGCAGUAAGGAAUAUUGGUCAAUGGACGCAAGUCUGAACCAGCCAUGCCGCGUGAAGGAUUAAGGUCCUCUGGAUUGUAAACUUCUUUUAUCUGGGACGAAAAAAGGCGAUUCUUCGUCACUUGACGGUACCAGAUGAAUAAGCACCGGCUAACUCCGUGCCAGCAGCAGCCGCGGUAA